UGGGCUGUAGCUCAGUGGCAGAGCACUUACCUCGCAUGUGUAAGGCACUGAGCUCAAUCCUCAGCACCACAU
rfam:Ictidomys tridecemlineatus contig007898, whole genome shotgun sequence.